AAGCUGAAUCAUACAUAGAUAGAAACUCAUCUUCAAAAAGACAUUUUUUUUAUCCAUACGGGAGUUUUGAGACUCACUUGAUAUGUAGAGAAAGCUUUCCACAUGUUGGAGUUAAUGAUGUAACGUCCCGUCUCUGGUUUGAAGAAGGAAAAGAAGAAAGGACCAAAAAGAAGAGGUGUAGAGCAAAGAUCCAAGGUCAAAAUCAGAGUUCAUUGAGGUACUUCCGCAAGUAAAGGGAAGAGUUCGAGAUGAUGGCAUCGCACACACCACAACUUCAGUUUUUGUCCUGGGAGAUUGUUUUGAUACUUAGUUUGAGUUGAUACAGUUGUAUCAUGACAUUUUAUUAUGGUUUGAGAUAUUUGACGUAUGGUUUUAUGAUAUGACGUUCAACAUAUG